UGUCUGAGGACAGACCAAGCUCAACAGCUACAAUGUUUUAAAAGCAGUUUCCAGAAUCUGAGUCCAGCUCCUGGACCUCUGCCAACAUCGUCUGUGUCUUAGGCCACACAAACAGAAGAAACUACUGUGUCUCAAUACUGCCCCCUGUUGUCCAUAAUGCGCUUUAUCCACCAGGGAGGUUUAUUGGUUCAUCGAUGGCAGCGAGAUGCCUGUGGCGCUCAAGCAGGCCUCUGUUGGGCAGACUGACACCCCAACAGGCUGCAAUUACCCCACAGCAAAGCCUAUUGUCUGUGUGUCACACCCUGAUGAGCACACACUGUGAAUAGAGAAUGCUGGCGGAUACACUAACAGAAUCAUUUUGCGUCCGUUUAAAAGGACAACGGGAAAAAGAGAGAGUGAAAAAGUAUCAGUGGAGAAAUUAGUGUUGCUAAAACAGCGGUUCAGAAGACUUCAGUCACAUGGAAGAAAGCUGUGAUUAGUCCAAUCUGUCAUUAGUGUCUCACUGACGGAGCCAUUAGCCUUGACAGAGGAGUAAAACGUUGCUCGGAGAGAUCUUUACGCCAAAUAUAUCACCCUUCAUCACUGAUUCAGGACUAGCAUAUGUAGCUCCAGAGCAAUGCAUUAAGGAAUGUCCUUAACAUUUUUAUUUCGUCAUUUACUCAUUCUCAUGUUGCUCUGAGUCCAUGUGACUUGCUUUCUUCCGUGAAACAACAACAACAAAAAAAGGAGAUAUUUUGAAGAAUGUGCCUGUCACUCUUUUCAGUGCAAUUACAAUGAAUGAGGC